GAUGAACGCUGGCGGCGUGCUUAACACAUGCAAGUCGAACGGGAUCCCAGGAGCUUGCUCCUGGGUGAGAGUGGCGAACGGGUGAGUAAUGCGUGACCGACCUGCCCCAUACACCGGAAUAGCUCCUGGAAACGGGUGGUAAUGCCGGAUGCUCCAGUUGACCGCAUGGUCCUCUGGGAAAGCUUUUGCGGUAUGGGAUGGGGUCGCGUCCUAUCAGCUUGACGGCGGGGUAACGGCCCACCGUGGCUUCGACGGGUAGCCGGCCUGAGAGGGCGACCGGCCACAUUGGGACUGAGAUACGGCCCAGACUCCUACGGGAGGCAGCAGUGGGGAAUAUUGCACAAUGGGCGCAAGCCUGAUGCAGCGACGCCGCGUGAGGGAUGGAGGCCUUCGGGUUGUAAACCUCUUUUAUCGGGGAGCAAGCGAGAGUGAGUUACC
rnacentral:rRNA from 1 species